CAAAGAUUAAGCCAUGCAUGUCUAAGUAUAAGCAAUCUAUACCGUGAAACUGCGAAUGGCUCAUUAAAUCAGUUAUCGUUUAUUUGAUAGUACCUUUACUUGGAUAACUGUGGUAAUUCUAGAGCUAAUACAUGCUAAAAACCUCGACUUCGGAAGGGGUGUAUUUAUUAGAUAAAAAACCAAUGCCCUUCGGGGCUCCUUGGUGAUUCAUAAUAACUUAACGAAUCGCAUGGCCUUGCGCCGGCGAUGGUUCAUUCAAAUUUCUGCCCUAUCAACUUUCGAUGGUAAGAUAGUGGCUUACCAUGGUCUUAACGGGUAACGGGGAAUUAGGGUUCUAUUCCGGAGAGGGAGCCUGAGAAACGGCUACCACAUCCAAGGAAGGCAGCAGGCGCGCAAAUUACCCAAUCCCAAUACGGGGAGGUAGUGACAAUAAAUACUGAUACAGGGCUCUUUUGGGUCUUGUAAUUGGAAUGAGUACAAUUUAAAUCCCUUAACGAGGAACAAUUGGAGGGCAAGUCUGGUGCCAGCAGCCGCGGUAAUUCCAGCUCCAAUAGCGUAUAUUAAAGUUGUUGCAGUUAAAAAGCUCGUAGUUGAACUUUGGGUCUGGCUGAUCUGUCCUCCUAAUCGAGCGCACGGAUUCGGUCGGACCUUUCCUUCUGGGGAACCCUAUGCCCUUCAC
rnacentral:rRNA from 1 species